CCCCGACUUGUGAGGAUGACAAUGCAGAGAGCCAGCAAGACCCACUUGAUUCCAGCGCAGCAGAGAAUGCAGCUGAAGUACUGGCGAAUGAGAGUGAAGAGGAACCACAAGAUAUUGAAAGGCCCUCUGCUAGCCUCCUCUGUGUGAUCUGCAGGAGUUGUUACUCACAGGUAAGGAUCCACCUGUUGUUGUCCUUUCAGAUUAGU